AUGAAUUUUUGUUUGUCAAUGCUUGAUGAGACAACAAUAGAAACUUCAAGGCCUAAAUUCAAGACAGUGCAUAAUGUUGUGCACAUUGAUGAGAAAUGGUUCAAUAUGACGAAGAAAAAUAAGACCUACUAUCUGUUGGAUGGGGAGGAAGAGGCUACGAGGCAUAUACACGACAACUGUAUUGGCAAGGUGAUGUUCUUGACGGCCGUUGCUAGGCCAAGGUGGGACAGUGAAGGAAACGUGACCUUCUCUGGGAAAAUCGGUAUCUGGCCAUUCGUGAAAGAAGUUCCUGCUCAGAGGAGAAGUGAAAACAGGCCCAGAGGUACAAUAGAGACGAAGUCAAUAAAGGUCGAUAGAAAAGUGAUGAGGGAGUUCCUGAUAGAGAAAGUCUUGCCGGCGAUACAGGCCGUUUGGCCCGAAAGUAAUGCUGGAUAG
rnacentral:rRNA from 1 species